UCUGCUGUCAAGUGAGAGGACUCGACUUGAUGACCUCUCUUUUGACCUCGAAAUCAAUCAUCCUGUCUCCCCUCUAGUUCCAAAUCUGUGAGCUUCUCUAGGCUUUGGGUUCCCCAUCUGGGAAGCGAGCUGGUUGAGCUAAUGGCUUCUCCAUGCUCUUCCUGAUCCAGGGAUAGGAUGCCUCCUGGGAGCCAUCUCCAGCAGUCCUGAUGAACAUCCGGCCACUGGACCCAGAUGGCUCCGGAGGAAGUGAGGCAGGUGACUGUGCACAGCCCUGCCUCGAUUAAAGCCAGUUCACUUUACAAGUCAUGGCGUACCUUUCCUGAUGUCAUGGUCCUCUUUGAGAAUGAAGGACAAACAACAACAAGAUGUCUCUUCCUAUCAAAUGUGAAGCUACUUUAAGGCAACUAAAAACAAGGACGACCCAGAAUUGAAAUGAAGACCCAUCCGACAGAGGGGAAAUGAGAGGCGGCAACAACCAACAAGCAACUUGAAAAGUCUAUGAGUAAAAGUCGUCCUCCAGGAAACAUAUUUUAGGAAGAGAAGAUGGGCCGGCGACUGGGUAAGGGACAGCGGGCACAGCGAGGACCCCCCACUGUGACGGGGCAACGUCAGGGAAGGCAGGAUGGCUGGACCGCCUGGGGUGAGUUUGUAGGUGGGCCUGGAUGAGAGUCACACAGGACGGGGCUGGCACUGAGGGCUUUCGAUCCUGAAAAUCAAUGAAAUCAUGGAUCCGUGUGAACACUGCUGCAGGCCCAGGGUCCUGCAAAUCACAAGUCAGUUUUUCUUGUAUUUGGAUGUGUGAUUUCAUUGAUGAUAAUGAUGAUGAUGACAGGCCUUGGACGAAAAGAGAUCCAGCCUCAGAGUCACGAGGACCUGAGGUCCAGAUCCUGCCUCUGACUGGACUGUGUGAACUACAGGCACACCACUUCCCCUAUUAGUGCCCACACAAGGCUCUGACACUGUAAAAGCUGCAGAGAAACUGCUGCCUUUUACUGGUUAAGGGAGUUCCUCACUGGAAAAAAACCAGCACCAAAGGACCUUAACUCGGGUUCCAUGAACUUGUUUUCUUAAAAAGAAUGCUGAUUACUUUAUUUCGAUAGAAUUGAUUUCUGUUGUAAUUCUCUCUCUCUCAACAAUUUUUAUUAAUGUUUUCUCUUUCUUACAACAUCAUAGCAUCAUACCUUCCCCUCCCAGAAAGCCAGCCUAUGUGGAAAAGAGUACUUUUUGUUAGAGAGGGGG